rnacentral:rRNA from 1 species
ACUCCUACGGGAGGCAGCAGUAGGAAUGAUUGGCGAAUGAGGCAACUCUGACCAGCCAUGCCGCGUGAAGGACGAAGGCCUAUGGUUGUAAAACUUCUUUUAUUUGGGAAGAAAACACUCUACGUGUAGAGUACUGACAUUACCAACGAAUAAGGAUCGGCUAACUCCGUGCCAGCAGCCGCGGUAUUGCUCCAUCAGGG